GACGUGGGGGGGGGUGCCGUGGGCGGGGGCGGAGACCGGGGUCGGGGCGCCGAGUUAGGGACCAAGGUGACCGAGUCCAGACUGUGGAUGGCGAGCUUGGGGACCCAGCAGGCGGGGCGAGGUCGCUCUGUGCCGCCCACGCCGGAUGCACAGCCGGCCCUCUCCGCGCCCACGUACCCACGUGAGCGCCCCGCCGGCCACAUUCCUACUUCCCCCACCGCCCCUACUCCCGAGCUGAGAGCGCAGUUUCACAACCACGCACAGGUACACAAAGACAGAGAGGCGCACUACGUGCACGCGCGUCUAAACAACUACGCGGUCGCCGGCUGCCCACACGCCGGCCUCGCCGAGCUGUUCUACGAAUGUUAGGAGUGAGCCGGGAAAAGUUAGGAAGCCCGGGGCGCGCUGCUCCUGUGCGCGCAACUGACUGCCGGGUGUGUGAACUUGUGGCAAACCCGUGAGCUUGGGGCCCUGCACAAAUCCUUCGAGAUCCUGUCGCCCUUCGUCAGCCUCAAAACGAGAUACCUGAGGAAGCUGCUCUUAGAAACCCAGGCCUCCUCAUCCCUGCCUGGAGUCGUCGCCCAACUUUUGGGGAGUAGGGACGGGGCGGUUGUGCUGGAAGCCACCUUUUAGGUGCGCGCUGAUUGCGCGUGGGGUUUUGUUCCCAAGGGUCAGGCAGAGAUGGAGACAUCCUGCCUUCCUCGCGCCCUUAUUUCCUGAGGAUGGGGUUCUGCUCGAUGGCAAAGCUGGGAUAAGGUGACCCUUCUGCGGUCGGCUGUGGGGGAUCUUGCCAGAGUGUGCAGGGCGGGUGAGAAGGCCCGAAGGUCCGACGUGACUCCGUAAGGAAAAGCCGGAGGGCGGAGCGUUUUCAGGAGCCUAGCCCCCUCCGCACCCACCGCCCCGCCCUGGCCCCAUCUGGUUCCCAUUACACUGCCGCCCACGCUGAGAGGGCUGCAGGGGGAGGCGGGGGCUCUAGGCCUGGGGGAAGGAGGCGGCCGCGGGAAGCGAGCGAAUUGGCCAUGGGCGAGGGUCCCCUCAUCCGAAACCUCAGGCCCGCCCCGCCGGUCCGCACUGCUGAGUGGCGGGCAGGGCUGGCGCGGGCGGCGUGGGCCGGGGCUGGUUCUACAUUCCGGCUUGGCAAGGGGACCUUUCGUCUCCGGUGGGGGCAGGGGAGAGGGUGCGUUGUUGGUGGAGGUAUUUCAGCAGCUCAGAUUCUUGUCUCUAUCCCAUUAAACACCAAACAGGAUGGGGGUGGCAGAAAUCAGCAGAGUCUUUCUCUCGAUCGUGGUCCUGCAAGAGAGGGUGCGGCCAGACCCCCUAGGAGAGCCAGGGGGAGGGGACAGUGCCCCUCCCCCACUCCCGCGCCGGUUAUUUUGGAGCAGGGGCUGCCAGCCGCUGGCCCUGGGUUUCCACGUGCCCCCGCCCUGCCCAUGCCCACGCUCCCCGUGACGCACAUCCUCCGCCCACGCAGCCUCUGCUCCAGGCGCCCCCCUCCCUCCCACCAACCCGGCUAGGGGCGGCGUUGAGUCCUGGGAUCUGGAGGGAGAUGCCGGCCCGAGGAGGGGGUGGAGUGGGGCGUGAAGCUAGGCGGAGGCUGCCCGGUGGGCGCUGGGCGCCUGGGUUCCGGUCAGGAAAGAGGACCCGGGCGGAGCCGAUGCUGAGGCCUCCACUCCCGGGUCCUGGGGCGGGUGCUUGACCAGAGAGAGGAAGGAGGAAAGAAAAACCCCGCGGAAGGGGCUGGCCACGCGCCUAGGGGAGUCAGUGGGGAUCCGAGUGCGAACUUGUGCUGAGAGCGAAAGUACCCGGUGUUUCUACGUUUGUUUCUCUAGAUCAGCGUAAGGUUCAAAUACAUGGCGUGCAAGUGAAGACUGCACAUUGUAGAAUGCUAGGCAAGUUUCAGACGCGGUUCACCGUACCCUCCGCUGCUGUGUUUAUGUUUCCUCACAUCUUCUUGUAUAUAUGUGUCUCUGGUUCUCUAGGUUUGUAUCGGGGCCCUAUGUGUGGAUUUAAAAAUAUAUACAUUUAAAAAAUCAUUGACUUGUCAGGCCCGCCAGAGGCCCGGAGCGCCCCCGCAGCCCGCAGCCGGAGCUGCUGAGAUGUCUGUUCUUCGCUUCCACCCACUCCUACCUCCCCCGCCUCCCCUCCUACUCCCUUCCGUUGAGAACAAGGAAUUUCCAGUCUAAAGCAAGGGAGAGAGACUGAGACCGCGAGAGAAACUAUAGAAAAACAAAAAAGAUGGGAGACAGGUGUGUGGGGGGAGGUGUGUGACAAAAAAAUGGAUUGGGGACAAAUAGAAAAAUGUUCAUUUCUUGUUCUGCGCAUCAUUCUCACUCAGGACCACAGCCUCACCCCCGUCCCAGGCAUGCAGAGCUGAUCCACUGAUCUCACUUAAUGAGAGUUUAAUAUGCCCUGUAUUGUCUAUACUGGUCUCUUCCAGGAAGGGAAAUUCUCCUUGGUCCUCGUUCUCCAGGAAAAGCGGGGGAAAGCUUGGGAAGAAAGGGAAGAAGCUCAGGACCGCUCCACAGUAGGCCUGAUACCUGGGGGUCCUCUGAAAAGAAGGAAAGGAGGGUGCUGUUUACAAGACAGAGAAACCUUGAAGAGGGCACCCAGACUGGUCUCGAACUUGCAACCAUCGAUCGUCC